GGUGGACAGCUGCAGGGACCCAGGGUUUGCCUGCCUCCGAUCAGCCCGGGGAAGAACCUGGGGCUCCGGGGUCUGGGAAUUCGAGCUGCAUCUGCUUUUCCUGCUGCUCACGAGCACCAGGCACUCUGGACUUGCUCUGGGUCCAGCGGGUCUUCUUUUUUUGCGCGUUGAGUGGCAUGAGACUCGGCAGUUGCCAAGGGCACUCACGUUCAAGUGCAAGUUCUCCGUGCAUUUCAGCAGCCUCCCUGGCUCCCAGGGACAGCUUUCCGAGGCUGCCUCCUGGAGGCUGCUGGGAACCAGGCUGGGCAGCAGGGAUGGAAGCAGACCCUCUCCCCCGAUGCUGGCAGAAGGGCACGCACCCAGUUCCUGGCCCUGCGCUUCCGUCUCCCCCGCAGACCUCACCUUGGCAGGGAGACGCUCUUCCGGGCUCAGUAACUCCAACUCAGAAACCAAACUCCCCAUCACCACCACCUUAAGUCAGGGUUCCUGCCCACAACCUGUGGGAUGCGGCCUAAGCCACACCCGGGGGCCUGGCAGAUGGGAGAGUCUGGAGGAGCAAAGCCGGAUUCCUGGUACAUGGCAGCGAGUGUGGUUUGGCAUGUAAGUUCUUUUCCCCUGGAGCUGCAGGUGAACUUUUCCCCUGGAGAUCUGAGUUCUUUUCCCCUGGAGCUGCAGGUGAACUUUUCCCCUGGAGAUCUGAGUUCUUGGGGAGCUGCAGGUGAACCUGGGGGCUUUCUGCGUGGGCGUGUGUGUCUGUGCGGUUUUGUUUUGUGACGACGCAUUAAUAAAAGGCGAAAGCCCCACACUGUGUGUCCCGCAGCCUCUCUUUGGGCCCUGGCCCCUGCCGUUCCGGGAGGAGGAUCUGAACUAGUACUGCUCUGACGGUGGGAAAUGGUGCCAAUCCAAAGCAACUUGCCUCUCCUCUCCCGUGAGCCUCCGGGACGGGGCCUUGUUUUAGGGGCAGCUCUUCUGCGCUUCCCUGUCCUCUUUCAGGAAACGUGGCAGUUAUCCGGGUGUGAGAAGAGACCCCGAAGCUCACCUGUGCCGUUACGUCUGGGGUGUCAGCUUGGGGCUCCACACCAGGGUGAACCCUUCCGGGAGGAGGGGGUGGGGUCAGUGAGGUGCAGAACUUUGAGUUGCCAAGGUUACAGUUGUACUCUUAACCUGGCAGAGGCCAGAAUGUGACAGCUGACUUUGGAACGUACUCGGAUCCAGCCUUGCCUUUCAGAGGGCCAGGAAAAGUGUGUGUGUGUUUUGGGGGGGGGCAGCCAUAUAUUUAAAAAGACCUGGCCACUUUUCAGGAUGAUUUGUGGAGACUGCCAAGGUGUGAGGAUCAGGAACGAAAAUGCUUUUUUUGUGUGUGAGUUCAAGUUCUAAAUCUUGUUGACCUAUCACUUACCAAAAAAUAGGUUAAGUGUCAGCAAAAAAAUUUGGAUUUUUGCCUGGGCUGGUGAGAGUUGGUACAAAUGUUCAUGUUUGCCUAGGAGGUGAGGAGACCAUCCACCAAAGAGGAAGUCGUUAAAUAGCACGGAUCUGCGGGUGUUUUAACACUCAAGCCAUCUGGAUUUUUUUUUUAUGGAUUAAAAAAAAAAAACUACUUUAGGAAAAUUGAGAGUUUAGAUCCCUUAACUUCCAAACUUAUGUAGGUAAAAGUAAGACACCCAUUAGACUAAAUUGAAAGUCUUGGUUCCUCUAGAUUUGCGUGACCUUGGGAAUGUUGUUUUGCUAGUGGAGCCUAGGAUGGCCGAGGCUUCCUCUCUGGUGUGAUGGUCGCCGACCUUCCUACAUGAAGCAGGUAACAUCACUUGUCAAUGCAAAAUGUAUUAGAACUUGAUGACAUGGCGCUUUGAGUUUGAGAAAUAAACGUAUAUUUAAA